GCUGGUGCUCACUUUGGCAUAUAUUAAGACAGGACUGAUACAGAGAAGGCAGCAUGGCCCCUGUGCAAGGGUGACAGCACAUUUGUCAUAUUUCGUAUAGUUUU